rnacentral:lncRNA from 1 species
GGCAUAGAAGAAAAACACGCCAAGUACCAGACCAAAUGAGCGAUAGUCAUGUCUGUUUUCUUUCCUACUUUUAAUGGAGUCUUUGACAAACUUCAUAGAGAGCAAGUUUAUCUAGAUUUACACUUUUAAUCAAAUGCAAAUUAUACCCUUAACUGUUAAUAUUGAUAAUAUGGCCACUUUCUUAAUAACAUCCAGCCUGGAGAAAAAUAGGAAGAAUCUUCAUGAUUGACUUUUCCUUGGCUGACCAGGGUCCAGAAACAGUCCCUGAGGGUUACAUUAGCUCUCUCUGUACUCACAUCCAGGAUUUGAUCUCAAUGCCCCCAUUUAGGAGACCUCAAUCACAGAUUUGUAAACCUAUUGUCGCAUUUUAAUCCUUCUCGAAUUCUAAUUAAGUUAUGGUCUUAAUGCAAAGUAGUUAUGUUUACUGACAGGCCUAUGAUUAAGGCAAGCCACAAAGCAAUUAUCUGAAGAGAGACAAAGAUUUGGCUAAUAUCAUUGACAUACUGGUCCUAGGCAGAAUUAACAUUAUCUUUGAAAUGGAGACUCUUUCGCAUAGCUCAUUGACAUGGUUGUCAUAGAAACUGCUUGUCUUGUCAUUACUGCAGUCUUUAGACAUCUGUUCUAGGUUCAAACACUCAUUGACAUGUGCAUUCAUUUGGUCAGAUAAGAUGUUUUAUCUCAGGCACCUUUAUCAUCCAUGAGUACAUUCAUUCCCUUUAAAUAAUGAAACACCAGUUAUAAACUAGUAACCACAGGUGUGUUAGCAUGUAGAAUAUUUGGUUGAUAAUGUCUAAUAGCAGAACUGAGACUUAUUUGUGGCUAGUGUUACAGAGAUUUUUAUAGUCAACUAUGAAUUAUUUAUAGUAAUGGAUUAAAGCCCCGGGCUUCAAGAAGUCUGAAUAGUUUGUGGCUUUUUUUUUUUAUCUUAAUCCUUAAAAUUCUGAGUUUUUACAGCUAUGUGCAAAUACAGCCCCAAAGUAUUGGAAAAUGUUGGAAAAAUUCACCAUACUUCAAACAAAUAAUGAAAUUAUACUAGGAAGUUAUAGUCAUGGAGAACUAGUUGAAAUAUUUAAUUUCUCCCUUACUUAUUUGCUUAAAUUUCCUAAGUGCCAUAGCCACUGCUAGGAAGAUGGCAUUAGCCUUCACAUUGACAUACUGAGCAGAAUAAUUUUUAAUUUUGAGUGACUGUAUUAAUCAUUUUAUGAAAUUUAACAUUCCUAUCCUCCAAACACUGAAUGUUAGUAGUAACUCUCUGCCUCAGUCAUAGUAGCUACCAAUUAUGGAUCCAAAGGUACACUAGGUAGACCAUGAGAUAGAGCUGGGGAGGAUAGUAUUACUUAUGGUUGGAAACCACUGUAAAAGUCUUGGCAAAGAGGUAUCGUCUAUGAUUUUCUCAGCAGAUGAUUUUCAUCUUAUUACAUUUAAAUUUAUCAGGUGUGUAUCUCAUAUUAAUUGCAGCCUGGAAGGUAACAAUUGUUUUUAGCUGUCAAGACUUCUAUAACAAUCUCGGGAAAAAAACAAAAAGCAAAGUUAAAAAAAUUUGGUACUCUAAGAAGAAACUAAUAAAGGGGAAAAAAAUCACUAGGUUGCUAAACACUGAAUAAGGAGUAUAGAGGAGUUAAAGAUUUGCCUUUCUCUCUGCUGAAGGGUGCACUAAUAUUGGAGUGGAUUAUUUAUUUGAAAGAAAUAUAAGAUAAAAGCUGGCAGGACUGAGAGUCUGUGUUAUAUGAAAGGAAUUUGCAGAAACUGUAGAAAAGAUAAGCUAAAUAAGCCUGGAGGAAAUAUCUUAUGAAUUUUAUACCAAAGAAACUUGGACGAGUAGAUCUUUUGGAAAAGAUGCCUACUGAAGGAGUGCCUAUUAUAUUUCCUAUAGCUUAAAUUCAUGCAAUAACAGAAAUACACUCUUGGAGUGUAGUGAAUAGCAGAAAAGUGUUUUUCCUUUAUCCUCCAAAAACUCUGGCAUAUUUCAUUGAUUAACAUUAUCCUGCUGUUUAAUGUACAAUAAAGAAUUGCCACUGAAUACUAUGAUUACUAUAAGAUAUUUGUGCUGCAAUUAUUGUCUUGGUACACAAUAAAUAAUAAUUGAUUAAAAUCCAGAGAAGGCUAGAAAUAUAAUAGACCUUAGAGACUGUCUAACAUCACUUUGUCCAUAUAGAAGAAGAAAAUAAUGUUGAAGAUAUUAUUUAAAACAGUCCCUUAGCUGCUUAUAGUCAGAAACUGGCUGAAAAUUUAAAAGGUAUAUUUUGGAAUUAAAAUAUGAUUUAGAGUCAUCAUAUUUCUGUGUAAUUAAAAUGUAACUAUUUCUUAGGUUGUGCUCAGAAAUGAUGCUGGAAUAGACAGUUUUGGGAUUCAGAGGCCAGGGCUUGGUACAUGUCAGUUUAGGAGACUAUAUCAAGUUAGGGACACUAUAUCAAGAAUUUUCCUUAACCAGUGAGAAUCAUUAAUAAUGGCAAGAGAGAAGAAAAUAGAGAGAAAGAUUACUAGGGUAGGAGAAGUUCUGUGCUGUUAGAUUACAACACUUCCACAGUAUCAGUCUGUAUUACCGUGUUUUAUCAUUGACGUGUUCAUUUCUUGGGGAUAGCCAUAGAAAUGAAGAAUUCUUUGAUUUUGGGCCAAGUUUGGUGGAAAAAAACUGGUGCAGAACCAUAAGCUAGAAGGAUAGAGUGUUUUGAAAGGAGUGAGAUUUUUGUAAUUUAAAAUUUCAGAUGUAGAAAAGUUGUUGAGUGGCAGUAGUCCAGGAUGUGAACAUCAGCGUGGACAGGGAGAAUGCAAUAUAUAUGAAAUAACCGAAAUUAUGGAAAACCAGAAAAUAUAAAGGCUCAGCAUUUAGACAACUUUGUUACCUGGCCACUAGUUUCCUAAGAAUAAGGGUUAAUGUUGGAAUAAAAAAAAGGAAGAUGGCCAGCCAUGAGCCAAGGUCACUGAUGAGUAAAUGAGGCUGUUUAGGAAGCUACAUAGAUGCAGAGGAGGAGGAAUGGUGAUGAUGAAGCAGCAAUGGUCCAAAAUGAGGACCAUGAAGUAGAAUACUAUCCUGCAGCCCCCCUGCUCCUAGACUCUGAACAAUGUAGAGUAUGGGAGACUGAGAGGGCAGCACUUAACAGGGUUUUAUAAGGGAAGUGGUGUUUUGUCUGCUAGCAAUUUGUCAGGAAAAACAGAAGCCUCUAGGUACUUCAAGGAAAGGAUUUACUACAGAGAAUUAGAGGUUUGCAGAAAUAGGGAAGUGGCCGUGUUCAUUCAGGAAAUUAUUACAGGAAAAAAAAAUUGAAACCACUCCUAAUAAUGAUAGCUGCCUGCCGAUUGGAAGUGGGAGAUUAACAGGAGGACUUGCCAGCACCACCAUAUAUAUCUCAUAUCCACUUAUUACUGCUCUUCCUCUAGCUUCCAAGUCUUACACAAAUGACUCUUGUUAGUGGACUCUAAACCAACCCCCUGCUAGCCAAUGAGUCUGGAAAUAAUUUUCCCAGCCUCUAUCCCUUAUGAUACAUGAUAAUGCUCUGCUUAGCAGCUGGGACUAGUAGUACUGAGUAUGAAGAGAUAACAUCAAGAACUAUGGUCAAAAAGAUGAAUCAAGACAAGGAGGUAGGAGUUCCCACUGUGGCUCAAUGGUAACAAACCUGACUAUUUAUCCAUGAGGACACCAGUUAGAUCCCAAGCCCCACUCAGUGGAUUAAGGAUCUGAGAGUUGCCAUGAGCUUCAGUAUAGGUUGCAGAUGCAGCUGGGAUCCAUGUUGCUCUGGCUGUGGAUAGGCCAGCAGCUGCAGCUGUGAUUCAACCUCUAGCCUGGGAACUUCCAUGUGCUG